rnacentral:rRNA from 1 species
AGCUCCAAUCGCGUACAUUAAAGUUGUUGCGGUUAAAACGCUCGUAGUUGGAUUAUCCACGACUUUUACUUUGAGGAAAUUAGAAGGUUUCAAGCAGGCGCACGCCUUGAACACAUUAGCAUGGAAUAAGAAGAUAGGACUUCUGUUCUAUUCUGUUGGUUUCUAGAGCUGAGGUAAUGAUCGAUAGGGAUAGUUGGGGGCAUUCGUAUUUAACUGUCAGAGGUGGAAUUCUUGGAUCUGUUAAAGAUGGACUGCUGCGAAAGCAUGGGCCAAGGAUGUUUUCA